AGCUCUAAUGUCCUUGUCAGAACUUUGAGCCAGUCACCAAGCUUCCUGGGUCAGGCCCUUCCGCAGCAGUGCAGGGUCUCCUGCAGGGUUGGUGGGAUUGUUCAGGGGCUCCUUCUGGUACUACGUGCACUGGAUCCAAGCACAGUCAGGCUUCUGCUCUCCAGAGGGUUCAGGCUGCACUGGCCACCUCCUCCCCCAUGCCUGUUGUACCCCAGGUAGAACAGGCUCAAGGUUUUCAUCAUUGACUUCUCACCUGUGUAGAGCCAGGGCACUUCAGUUUUCAGAUUCUAGGACUAAAGGGUAAGAGGGACUUAGGGCCUGGCAAGACAGGCAAGGAGGGGCUGGGGACCUCCUAAACCCAUCACUGAUCCUCAGUCCCAGCCUCACCCUGGGGAUCAACAAAGGCAAAGAAAGGUUUGCUGCAUCUGACUUGGUGUACAUUUGUGCUCCUCAUGAGAGAUAAAGGUCCAGAGGCCCUUCCUAGAGAAGUGGGACUUCCCCUUUGCUUCCCCUCCUCCCCCACGUCCCUGCAGUCAGAGAUGAGGGUGUCCAGAGGCAAAGCAUUCUUUGUGUCAGGCCCAAGCUCUGUUCCUGAUCCUAUAGUGCUUUCCCCACCCACAAGCACUGGUCACAGUCUGGUGACAGAGACUAUAAUGUGGAGCACGGUGUGUAGGCACAUGGCAGAAGGCCUCUGCUCCAGCCUGGGCAAAGAUACGCUCCUACCCUGCUCUGCAGUGCUGCAUCCAUCAUCAUCCAUGGGUGCCCUUGUCCUGGGCACUGUCAGGCCUCCCUCUUAGUGGAUGGAGACACUGAGGCCCAGCCUACAACCACCCAGAUGCUCUGGCUGGGGACAUACCUCUGGAAGCAGGGCCCUCAGGACUCAAAGAUGCUCACAGAUUAGGAUUCUUUCUGGGACCAGGCCCAGCUUCUGUCCCUAAAAAUGGGCUCAUCCCCACGCAGCAGGUACUAGAGAACACAAAGGGACAGAGGACUCCUCUGUUCUCAGGGAUUCUGAGAACAGAGGCCUGGCCAGUGGCAGCCGCUAGAGGGCAGAACCCUCCCAUGUGUUUUCUCCUGAGGGCUGGUGAGCAGAUGAGCUAGGCAGACCAGACACAAUGGAGUGGUGGCCCCUGGGCGCAGUCUCCACAAGGCUGAGACGCUGGCCAGAAGUCCACCUGGAUCCUAGGCCCCCAAAGUCCUCCCUGAGUCUUCAGGCUUUUCGCCUCCUAAGAGCCCAGCCAUGAGCCAACAGGGACUGGCUCCUGCAUUAGUGACUGGUCUCUCAUUCUUAGAACAUGAGGGCUAGAGGAGCACUUAGGAAAGCAGGUCCUCCAGCCUCCUCCAUGCAGUGAGGAAACAGGCAGGGAAAAACUCAUCUGACCACACCCUGUAUAUGAGUUGUGUUGGGACACAUUUCCCAAGGACUGAUCAUGAGCCAGGCACCCACAGCAUCCCCAUGGAUCCUGUUAGAAUCACUUUAUAUUUGCAGAUGUGGAAACUGAGGCUCAGACAAGCUGCCAUUUGACUGAAAUCCCCGGAUUCCAGACCAGACAGGAUGAUGACCAAGUCUGUGUUUGAUUUGCCAUACAGCAGAGAUACCCUCAUGGUUGGCUCACUGAUAAAAGUGAAUGAGUGUGUGUGUGUGUGUGUGUGUGUGUGUGUGUGUCCACAGACACUGGCUGCUAAAGCAGGGACCAGGCUGCCUCUGUUGCACCCACACUUGCUCUCCCAGGUUGAGGCCUCUGCUUCUCAUCUGGACCUGGCCAGUGGUUGCCCUGGGUAGAAGGAGCUAUGCAAGGUGGCAGUACCAUAACAAUCCUCAUUGAGGGCCAUUUGAUGUAACAGUGACACUAAACCCAAGAAAAGGGUGUUAACUAAGAGGACCAGCAGCAGUCUAAGAGGUUGUGCCUGCAGCCUUAGGUGUUAAGAACCCUUUCCCCCACUCCCCAAUACUGGGGAUCAAACUCAGGGCCUCAUGCAUGCUAGGCAAGAGCUCUACGACUGAGCAAUAUCCCCAGCCCAAAGACUCACUUUUUUGAGUCCUCAGCUUGGCCUUGCUCCUCCAACCAGGCUUGGGGACCUCUUCUCAGGACCUAAGGUGGGUAGCUCGGUGCUCAGGCAGCACCACUGAGCCCUGGAGCUCCUGGGUGUUUUAGCUCUGGUGAGGGUCUGAGCAAUUUGACUGAUUUCUGUUGGUCUGCUGGCUCCUGACUCUUGCCCUUGCAUGGAGCCCAGGAGACCCUGGAGAUCCAGGUCAGCUGUCUGCUAGGACCCCUCCUCAAGACUGAACCUGCCUCCACACGCUAGCCCUAGGAUUCUCCCUGACAUCUAACAGCAGGGCUGGCCAAAAUUACGGCUGGCACCGUCUCUACUCAGGCUAAAGCUAAUUAGGGGGUAUUGCCCUGAAGUGACCCACUUAAAAAGCUAGCCUAUCUGGCCAUCUGACUUUGUGUGAGAGUGUCAUAUUACCUCUCUAGCUUCAUCUCCUCUCUCCAGAAAAUGGGUGAAGAGAAUUCAGGAGAAGGGAGGUCAAGAAGUGAUUGAUAAGCAGGGCAUGGUGGCACACACCUGUAAUCCCAGGGGCUCCAGAAGUUCAGGUAGGAGAAUCGUGAGUUCAAAACCAGCCUCAGCAAAUUAGCAAGGCCCUAAGCAACUCAGUGAGACCCUGUCUCUAAAUAAAAUAUUAAAGAAAGGUCUGUGGAUGUGGCUCAGUGGUUAAGUACCCCUGAGUUCAAUCCCUGGCACCAAAAAAAAAAAAAAAAAGUGAUGGGCCAUUAGAACAUCAAGCCCAGGUUCCUGGGAGCUGAGUGUGGGCAGAUGCUGUGAGACGCUGGAAGUGAGUUUUUGGCCUAUCUCAACAUUUCUCCUGCCACCCUGUGCUCAUUGUCUCCCUUACUGAUCUUUCACAAAGAACACUGGGAAUUUCCUAGCCAGAAGUUAUGAAAUAGAGGGCAAACUAGCUGAUGAUGUAGAUGGGCUCUUGGAACUCACUUCCCUUUGCAAAGAAGAGUCUGCUUAGGAAAGAAUGACCAGUGGGGGCAGGAACCAGACAUCCUGGCUGCAACUCUUUUUUUUUUGGCAGGGGGUGGGGUGGACACCAGGGAUUGAGCCACAUCCCCAGCCCUUUUUUGUACUUUAAUUAGAAACAGGGUCUCACUGAGUUGCUUAGGGCCUCACUAAAUUGCUGAGGCUGGCUUUGAACUUGUGAUCCUCCAGGAUGGAUGGAUUGUGGGCAGGUGACUUUUCUCUGGGCCUCUGUCAUCUGUAAAGUGGACAGAAGGAUGUGGUGAGGGUUAAAAGAGUCAAGGAGCUGGGCACGGUCAUGUACACCUAUAAUCCCAGCAGCUGGGGAAGCUAAGGCAGGAAGAUGGCAAGUUCAAAGCCAGCCUCAGCAAAAGUGAAGUUCUAAGCAACUCAGUGAGACCCUAUCUGUAAAUAAAAAUACAAAAUAGGGCUGGGGAUGUGGCUCGAUAGUCGAGUGCCCCUGAAUUCAAUCCCCAGUACUAAAAAAAAAAAAAAAAAGAAAGAAAGAAAGAAAAAGAAAAAAGAGUCACAGAGAGAUCAUCUAAUGCAGUGCCGCACACAUAGGAAGUGGACACAAGCAAUUGUAGGUCAGAGAGCAACCAUCAUUUCAUAAUUCAUGACUGUUAUCAUGGUACCUGUUGUACCUGUUUAUGUGCCUGUGUCUGUGGGCCCCUAUAAAUCUGUACAUCUGUAAAUCCAUGCUAGUUGCUGUGAGUCCUCCCGGUGUGUGUGUGGUGUGUUUCCACAUGUGGGCCGUCAUAUCUUGGCAUAGGUGUGUGUGUAUCACUCGGCGUGAUUUCUCCUGCAGAGCCAGUGCUGAGAAGGUAGGAGGUGAGGAGUAGUCUAUGACAGGGCUGGUGCUUGGAGAAAGGGAGAAGUGGACAGGCUGAGUCUGGGAGAAAACGGGGAGGAAAAUGGGACCAGCUUAGCUCAGAUUAGGUAAAGUGUUUAAGGGGACUAAGAUCAAGCUCUAUUCCCUCUUGCACCAGGAUGAUGCAUAGGAAAGUGUUGGGCUGAGUCCCCUAAAGAAGACUGGCCACAGCUAACUCAUGCCUCACCCUGACCAGGGAGCUCUGAGGCCCCAGAAAAUCCCACAGUCUGGCAGUGACAUGUUGUCCAGCUCAUUGCUUGGCCCCUCAGGCCGUGAUCUGCUAAAACUCUAAUAGGAGGUGUAUUUAUGAGUUGCUAUAAAGGUACUGGCAUCCUGGUGAUAAAAGCCUCCAAAAUUGCCAUAAACUGCAAUUUAUAUGUUUAUAACCAUUUACCAGCUAGUGGGUUAGAGAUUUGGUUGUCACUGACACCAGAACCAAGGAGGCACAGUUUCUAGCCAGUGUCAUGCAGGGAGGGCUGAAAGAGGGAGCACUAGUGUGUAGCAGAGGGCCACUGCCCACUUCUUCCACACCUGUCCCUUCCUGAGAGACUCCUCAUUUGGGAGCAUGCCCUGAAGUCUUAUUUAUCUUGAGGCAUAACUUACGCUUAGUGAAGUACAUUCACCAUUAAUAUACAACUCUGUAAUUUUUUCAUAGACAGCUACCGUGUAACCAUGACACCCAGCAGAGUUCAUCAUCCUAGGAAAUUCCCUUGUGCCUCUUCUCUGUUAAUGUCCCCGACCCCAAAAGUAGCUACCAUUCUGACCUCCUCAGAGAUGGGUUUUUCUGCCCCAGAAUUUCAUCUAAAUGUAAUUAUGUCAAAUGUACUCCCUUGCGACUGGCUUCUUUUGACCAACAUAGUGGUUUUAGAUUUAUCCGGGUGGCCCUAUGUAACAAGCAUUCAUUUCUUAUUAUCACUGACUUUUGUAGCCAUUGCAUGUUUUUUUUUGUUGUUGUUGUUUUUGUGUGUGUGUGUGUUUGUACCAUGGAUUGAACCCAGGGGUGCUUAACCACUGAGCCCUUUUUUAUAUUUCAUUUAGAGACAGGUUCUCACUGAGUUGUUUAAGGCCUCACUAAAUUGCUGAGGCUGGUUUUGAACUUGUGAUCCUCCUGUCUCAGCCUCCUGAACUGCUGGGAUUACAGGGGUAUGCCACCCGCUCCCGGCCCAUUGCAUGGUUAGGUAGUCUCUUGUUUAUUUAGUCUCUUGUUGAUAGAAGUCUGGGUUGUUUCUAGGGUUGGAAUAUUAUGGAUAUUCCUGUGUGUGGUCAUAGUUUUUUAUUUCUCUUGGAUAAAUACUUCAGAGUGGAGUGGUUGUGUCCUGGGGUAAGGGUAUGUGUAACUUUAUAAGAAACUGCCAGUAGCAACGUGUGAGAAUUCCAGUUUCUCACCAUCUUUAGAAGGUCUUCUGCCCCAGACCCUUGGUUGCCUCGAAGAGUCCACCCAUCACUGGACACCAUGAUACAUACCUGUAAUGCCAGUGACUCAGAAGGCUGAAGCAGGAGGAUCACAAGUUUGAGGCCAGUCUCAGCAAAAUAGUGAGAAUUUGCAUUAGGGAUUGAAGCCAGGGAUGUUUAACCACUGAGCCACAUUCUCCGUCCUUUUUAUAUUUUACUUAGAGACUGCAUCUCACUGAAUUGUUUAGGGCCCCACUAAGUUGCUGAGGAUGGCUUUGAACUUUUAAUCCUCUAGACUCAGCCUCCUAAGUCAAUGGGAUUACAGGUGUGCAUCACCAUGCCUGGCUCAAAAUUUUUUAAUUUUAAAAAGGGCUGGGAAUGUAGCUCAGUGGUAGAGCACCUCUGGGUUCCCUAGUACUGAAGAAAAAAAAAUCCAGCCUAUCCAUUGCCCUAUCUGGAGGUGGGACUGGCUGCUGGGAUGGUGACCCAGAGUCCCACUGCAGGGGAAGCAUCUGGGCAGAUGUGGGCAAGUGCAUGUUAUACUCUGGGAACUAGCGAGGGGGAAAGGAACUUUACUUUUGAUAAGUCCAGCUAUAACUUAGGUACCACAUUACCUCAAUGUAUAAUCCCUUAUUUAAUCCUCUAGGUGUUGGGGUCCUGCAGGGAAUGGCAGACAAAUCACUUGCAGGCUGCAGAGAACCCCACCUCCACCUGUCAAGGCUGCCUGUUUAGAUCUAUCACAUGACCUAGCACAAAAGUGCUGAGAAGGUCUGUAGAUUUUUUCUCCAUUCCUCCAAUACCCAGAGCAAAGCCCAGGGAGAGAAGGGACUUUGCCCCCAUAGUUAUAAUUCGAGUUAGGCAAUGACUUAGCUGCUCUGCUCCUAGCUCAGGAGGGGAAAUCAGGCCUCUCUCUCCGACAGAGGCCCUUUUUUACACUCCCUUCUCAUUGAACCAAUCCCCAGGAGGGCUUCUCUCAGCUGGGAGCUCCUCUGGGUGACCGUGUCACAGUCCUGUUAAUAACAGUAGCUCAGUCAGAGCAGGCACACAGCAGGCAUCAAUGAAACGAAGGUUGAUGCAUGAGUUAGCCUGGCUCUGCUACUUGGAAAAAUACUAGAAAAUUCCUCCUCUGAAAUAUCGACAGUUGGCAGCUUAAGCCAAAAUCUCACAGCCAAAAGAAUCUCCAGACAUCUUUAGGUAUGGUGUCCUGCUUUCAACCAACCAUGUGUUACUAACCAAAUUUCAAGGAUAAAAUAACUGAUAUUAGAAAGAUAAGCAACUGCCCCAGACUUUUUACUGCAGAUCUGAUAAAAUGACUAGUUCAAAUGGAAACUGAAGGCCUUUGGAGCAACACCCAUCAGAAGCAAAGGUCAUGCACCCCAGAAAUUACAAAAUAAGCAAUGACAGCUGGGUACAGUAGUGUAUACCUAUAAUACCAGCAACUUGGGAGACUGAGGCAGGAGGAUCGCAAGUUUGAGCUCAGCCUCAGCACUUAGUGAAACCAUGUCUCAAAAUAAAAAGAGAAGAAAAGGGCUGAGGAUAUAGCUCAAUGGCAAAGCGCUCCUGGGUUCAAUCCCCACUACCAAAAAAAAAAAAAUAGGUUCAAUUGAAUAUGCUUCCCUUUGUACAAAGUUAUUGGGUAAAGCAAAGUCCAUUGGCAUUUUUCCUAAUUUUGUCUGCACUGUGUGGAAAUUUCUUUCCUUCCAAAUACACUUAGUGCUAACUCUAGGGGACAAGUUGGAGGACUAGAGGUAGUACUUGUUAAUCAGAGAGAUUAAUCUGACCUGUAGCUAUAACAGGUAUUAAACAAACAUAUUAAAUGUACCUGCCGAUGUUAUGUGGCUUCUCACCGAUAUUCUAAGUUAUAGGAUGUAAGCUAUAUCUAAAUAUAAAAGAAAAAAAAUGGCAGAGUGGGAAGAAGCAGGAAAUAAGACAGAGGACAUGGGACAGGUGGGGACAGCCAAAAGAAUCUGGUGGGGACUGUGGUCUGCACUCAUGGCAAAUAGGCAGGGUGUGAAGGAAGGACUCUGGGCAGUAGAGGAUUACUAGCAGGUGGCUACAGAGGGUGACUAGGAAGGCCCAUGUAUAUAUAUCUCCCUUUAUGCUCUCCUCUGGAGUUGGGGGACAGGAGGGGUUUGCCCUGCCAAGUCCCUUCCAAGGGCCUAAUGACCAGCUUUUUUCACAAAUCUCCCACCCAAGCCUGCCCAGGCAGCUUAUGAUGGGCCUGGAGUUUGCUCUAUGCCUAAGAUGGCCCUGUUUUCUACUAUCUCCUGGCUGCUGGGUCUUAGGCAGUCAGGAGAGGAGCCCUGGGACAGCUUAGGGAGACUCAGGGUCCUGGUCCAAAUGUAAGCCCCUCAACCCAGCUUAGCCCUAAGUCUUGUUAGUUUGUUUUGUACUGGGGAUUGAACCCAGGGUGCUUAACCACUGAGCCACAUCCCCAGCCCUUUUUAUUUUUCAUUUAGAGACAGGGUCUCUCUAAGUUGCUGAGCCUGGCUUUGAACUUGCAAUCUUUCUGCCUCAGCCUCCUGAGCUGCUGCGAUUACUGGUGUGCACCAUCACACUUGACCUUGGCCCCCAAGUCUUAAAACUGGCCUCUCUAGAAUGAAGGCCAGGAGUCUGCUAAUUUUUAACUUGGCAUCCAAAGCCAGCAGGUAGAGGACCACAAGGAAUGGGAACUAAAUGCCCCAUUGAAAGGCACGCACACUAGAGAAAAGGAGAGAGAGUUAGAUAUUUGUACACAUGUAUAUAGUCAUGUGUUGCAGAACAACAUUUCAGUCUAUGACGGACUUUACUGUAUAUGUGAUAGUGGUCCCGUGAGAUUAAAUCACUUAGUGAUGUCAUAGCCACCUUAGUUCAUAUAAGUUCACUCUCUGAUGUUUGCAUAAGGAUGAAAUCACCCAACAAUGCAUUUCUCAGAACAAGUCUCAGUGGUUAAGUGAUGCAGAACUGUAAUGAGUCUUACAUCAGUAAUUACAUGACUAAUAAUGAGGCAUUUAUUAUAUAUGUAUACAAUAUUAUACAAUUAAUGAUUAAGUACAUUUAUUAUAUUAAUAGUCAUAUUAUUAUAUUUUAGCAUAUAAUACAUAUGCUUUUAACUAAGAGGAUGAAAACACAUGUUCAUAGAAAGACUUGUGCAUAAAUGGCUAUAGCCCCAACCCAGAAACAACCCAAAUGCCCACCAACAAGGGAAUGGAGAAACAAAUUGUGGUAUAUCCAUGCAAUUGAAUAAUACUUGGCAAUAAAAAGGAAUGAGCUGCUGCUAUCCACAACAACAUGGAGGAAUCUAGCAAAAAUUAUGCUGCAUAAACAAAGACAGGCAAAAAGAGUACCAACUUUAGCUGGGCACGGUGCUGCAUGCCUGUAAUCCUAUCGGCUCAUCAGAUUGAGGCAGGAAGAUUGGAUUUAGAAGCAAUUUAAUGAGGCCCUAAGCAACUCAGUGAGACUCUCUAAAUUAAAUAUGAAAAAGGGCUGGGGCUCAGUGGUUACGUGUUCCUGAGUUUAAUUUCAGGUUAAGAAGAAGAAGAAGAAAAAAAAAGAGUACCAGUUUUAUAAUUCCACUCAUAUAAAAUUCUAGAAAGUUCAAACUAACCUGUGAUGACAAAAGCAGACCAGUGGCUACCUAUGAUAGGCUGGGAUGGGCUGAAUGGAUUAAAAGAGAUACAGAAACUUCUGAGGUGAUAAAAAUAUCUGCCUUCUUGAUGGUAUUGAUGGUCUCUGGGGUACAUUCAUAUAUCAACAAUAAAUAAAUUGUACACUUUAUGUAGGUAUAGUUUAUUGUACCUCAAUUAUACUUCAGUCAUGUGGAAGAGAUAUUUUUCCCAUCACAUUACUUUCAUUCAAAAUACCAUUACUAUUAUUAAUAUAGUUUCCCUUAAUGUCAUUUAAUAAUAUCAUCUAACAAUAUGAGGGGAAAUGAAAUAAAAUAAAAAUUAUUUAAAAGUAGUAUUUGUGUUAUCUUUAUCUCUUCCUUUUAAAAUGGUGGCUAUGCCAAUAAUCCCAGAAAUUUGGGAGGCUGAGGGGGGAUGAUUGCAAGGUCCACACCAGCAUGGGUAAUAAUAAUAAUUCAUUUCAAAAUUAAAAAAAUUAGAGGGGCUGGGGUUGUGGUUUAGCAGUAGAGCGCUCGCCUAGCACAUGUGAAGCCCUGGGUUCGAUCCUCAGCACCACAUAAAAAUAAAUAAAUAAAGGUUAUUGUGUCCAACCAAAAAAUAAAUAUUAAAAAAAAUUAGAAUUGGGGGUUGUGGUUGUAGCUCAGUGGUAAAGUGCUUGCCUAGCAUUUGUGAGGAACUGGGUUUGAUCUUCAGCAGCACAUAAAAAUAAAUAAAUAAAUAAAUUAAUUAAUUAAUUAAUUAAAGGUAUUGUGUCCACCUACAACUAAAAAAAUUUAAAAAGGGCUGGGUAUGGAAAUUGUAUGGUAUGUAAUUGUAUGACUCAGGAGGCUGAGGCAGGAGGAUUGCAAGUUCAAAACCAGCCUCAGCAAUUUAGCAAGAGUCUGUCUUAAAAUUUAAAAAAAAUUAAAAGGCUGGGGAUGUGGCUCAGUGUUGAGCACCCCUGGGUCCAAUCCUUGGUACAAAAAAAAGAAGUUAAAUAAAAUAAAAAUAAACAUAAAAAUAAAUAAAAAAUUUAAAAGGGCUGGGGAUGUACCACCCUUGGGUUCAAUAACCUGUAUCAAAAAUGUUUCUAUCAACAAAUGGGCCAAGGACCUGAACAGACACUUCACAGAGGAGGACAUACAAUCAAUCAACAAGUACAUGAAAAAAUGCUCACCAUCUCUAGCAGUCAGAGAAAUGCAAAUCAAAACCACCCUAAGAUACCAUCUCACUCCAGUAAGAUUGGCAGCCAUUCUGAAGUCAAAGAACAACAAGUGCUGGCGAGGAUGUGGGGAAAAGGGUACUCUUGUACAUUGCUGGUGGGACUGCAAAUUGGUGCGGCCAAUUUGGAAAGCAGUAUGGAGAUUACUGGGAAAGCUGGGAAUGGAACCACCAUUUGACCCAGCUAUUGCCCUUCUCNAAGAUUAACAUUAAACAGAGACAUGAGGUGGGAGGGAAAGGGAGAGAAAAGGGAAAUUGCAUGGAAAUGGAAGGAGACCCUCAUUGUUAUACAAAAUUACAUAUAAGAGGCUGUGAGGGGAAUGGGAAAAAAAACAAGGAGAGAAAUGAAUUACAGUAGAUGGGGUAGAGAGAGAAGAUGGGAGGGGAGGGGAGGGGGGAUAGUAGAGAAUAGGAAAGGUAGCAGAAUACAACAGUUACUAAUAUGGCAUUAUGUAAAAAUGUGGAUGUGUAACCGAUGUGAUUCUGCAAUCUGUAUUUGGGGUAAAAAUGGGAGUUCAUAACCCACUUGAAUCAAAUGUAUGAAAUAUGAU
rnacentral:lncRNA from 1 species